rnacentral:lncRNA from 1 species
AUGGUUUACUGUUGUCUGCAUGUGAAUUUUGUACAAUAAAUACUGGAUCAACUGAGUGUUUUUAAAAAUAUUUGUCAUUUACUUUUUUUUUUUUUUUGCUAGCAUAGUGCACAGUAGCUGAAACCAACUUCACACAAGGCGGGAGCUGCAUAUGCAAAACAUGCAGUCAUGUUGGCUGUUCUCUUGACCAUUUUGAUGUUUAAUCAAGAUUAUGGCGGCUGUAUGGUGACUCCGGAGAUGUUUGUACUUGGUGAAAAUGAAAUGAGCUGGUUCAAGUCCCGCGAGUACUGCAUGAAAAAUGCUUAUCUGUUUGCCAGGCUCAACAAUGAAAGCAGCCAGACUAAGAUGGCCUUAAACAUGACAUUUGAAGAACCCACGGAGGGCUGGAUCAGUCUGCGCCGCAGCUUGUACUCAACAGACUGGUACUGGAAAAACGAAGACACUUUCUCACCUUACGUGGACUUCACUUACUGGGAGAAAGGACAGCCUGAAAAACCGGAGAAAGGCUUGUGCGCCUUGGUUUCCCUGGAUCCCAACAAGAACUUCAAGUGGAAGAGUGGACGCUGCUGUUCUAAAAAGAAGCCUGUUUGCUAUAAAAGACCAAAAUACUUCACUUUAUGAGAUACUUUGUAAACAACAGAUGUCUUGAAGACUUGUGACCUCCAAAAAUUUGCUUCCAGAACUAUCUUUAGGGAUCAGUAUAGAUUGGUUUGAUUUUCAUGCUCAACAUUUAUCUGUCUAUACAUAGUGAGGCCCCUAUAUUAGACUAGAUUUAGAAAAUGUUAUCUGGUGGGCAAUGACAUAGAUCUAGCAAUAAUAUUAACAGUGAAAAGAAAACUUGUAUUGCAGACUUUUUAGGUUAAAUAUAACUAUUAAAAAUUAGCGUGUAAGUUGAGAUGCAUUUUGAUCUGUAUCCAGACUAAGAUUUAAACAGUGAUUAUUA